UACGAAGGGGGCUAGCGUUGCUCGGAAUCACUGGGCGUAAAGGGUGCGUAGGCGGGUCUUUUAAGUCAGGGGUGAAAUCCUGGAGCUCAACUCCAGAACUGCCUUUGAUACUGAAGAUCUUGAGUUCGGGGAGAGGUGAGUGGGAACUGCGAGUGUAGAGGUGAAAUUCGUAGAUAUUCGUCAAGAACACCAGUGGCGAAGGCGGCUCACUGGCCCGAUACUGACGCUGAGGCACGAA
rnacentral:rRNA from 1 species